rnacentral:rRNA from 1 species
ACUUCCGGUACGAUCGGUGACAGGUGGUGCAUGGUUGUCGUCAGCUCGUGUCGUGAGAUGUUGGGUUAAGUCCCGCAACGAGCGCAACCCUCGACCUUAGUUGCCAGCAUUCAGUUGGGCACUCUAAGGUGACUGCCGGCUAAAAGUCGGAGGAAGUGGGGAUGACGUCAAAUCAUCAUGCCCCUUAUGACCUGGGCUACACACGUGCUACAAUGGGCGGUACAAAGGGUCGCGAACCCGCGAGGGGGAGCCAAUCCCAAAAAGCCGCUCUCAGUUCGGAUUGCAGGCUGCAACUCGCCUGCAUGAAGCCGGAAUCGCUAGUAAUCGCGGAUCAGCAUGCCGCGGUGAAUACGUUCCCGGGCCUU